AAUUGAAAAUGUAAGCAAACAUAUAUAUGUAUAUUACGAGUAUAUGAUUUAAUUAUGUUCCUAAAGUUUCUGCAUUGUCUAAUUCAAACCAGCUGUUUAAUUUAGCAUCUUCCCUUACAUUCACAACCAGGAUAUUCAAAGUCGAAAACAUUUAUCAAAAGUUCAGAUUCCAAUGAUAAUUAAAAUUCAAAAAAUCUGAUACAGAGGGACAGUCAUGACUCAUUAACAUACGUGGAUUUUCUAGUUCUUAUAAAAGACCUACGUUUCAGUGUCCCUGCAGGAAAAGAAAAAAAAAGCAUCAAGAGCGAUGAAUUCGAAACUGAUUUUUGUUCUGAUUCUGACAUUGGUCACGUGAUGCCUUCUGGACGAGGCUUACGGAGGGUGGCGGAGACGUAUAAGAAUAAGAGUUAGGGGGCGAAGAAUCUGUAAAGUGGCAUGUCCUCUAGUAUGUAAGAAGACCUGUUCAACAUGUUCCCCAGUGUGUAGCCCGGUCUGCUCGAAAAUAUGUGGAAGGAAGAGAGAAACAGAGUCCUAUCAGAAGAGGAUCUUUUUGGUUCAAGAUUCCCCUGAUGUCUAAUUGUUAAGAUUUUACACAAAGAAGGAAUUUUAAUGAUUCCCAAUAAAUCUCCAUAUUG